CCUACGGGUAGCUGCAGUGAGGAAUAUUGGUCAAUGGGCGCGAGCCUGAACCAGCCAAGUAGCGUGAAGGAUGACUGCCCUCCGGGUUGUAAACUUCUUUUAUAAAGGAAUAAAGUGAGGCACGUGUGCCUUUUUGUAUGUACUUUAUGAAUAAGGAUCGGCUAACUCCGUGCCAGCAGCCGCGGUAAUACGGAGGCUCCGAGCGUUCUCCGGAUUUAUUGGGUUUAAAGAGAGCGUAGAUGGGUUGUUAAGUCAGUUGUGAAAGUUUGCGGCUCAACCGUAAAAUUGCAAUUGAUACUGGCAGUCUUGAGUACAGUUGAGGUAGGCGGAAGUCGUGGUGUAGCGGUGAAAUGCUGAGA
rnacentral:rRNA from 1 species